ensembl:misc_RNA Y_RNA Y RNA
GGCUGGUCUGAGUGCAGUGUUUACCACUAUUGAUUACAGAUUUCUCUGUUGCUUCUCCACCCCCACUGCUUCACCUGACUAGUCUUAA